rnacentral:rRNA from 1 species
UGGGGAAUAUUGCACAAUGGGCGCAAGCCUGCUGCAGCGACGCCGCGUGAGGGAUGACGGCCUUCGGGUUGUAAACCUCUUUCAGCUCCGACGAAGCGCAAGUGACGGUAGGAGCAGAAGAAGCACCGGCCAACUACGUGCCAGCAGCCGCGGUAAUACGUAGGGUGCAAGCGUUGUCCGGAAUUACUGGGCGUAAAGAGCUCGUAGGCGGUUUGUCGCGUCGUCUGUGAAAUUCUGCAGCUUAACUGCAGGCGUGCAGGCGAUACGGGCAGACUUGAGUACUACAGGGGAGACUGGAAUUCCUGGUGUAGCGGUGAAAUGCGCAGAUAUCAGGAGGAACACCGGUGGCGAAGGCGGGUCUCUGGGUAGUAACUGACGCUGAGGAGCGAAAGCGUGGGUAGCGAACAGG